CUGCAACAGCUGGGUCCACAUUUUGCCCACCCUGCAAAAAAAAUAAAUUAAAUAAUUAUAUAUUUAUAUUUUUUUAAUGUUUGCAUUUUUGCAGGGUGGGCAAAAUGUGGACCCAGCUGUUGCAG